GACGAACCGUCCAAACGUUGUUCGGAAUCACUGGGCUUAAAGGGCGCGUAGGUGGUUUGCCAAGUCGGGGUUGAAAUCUUUCGGCUCAACCGGAAAAGUGGCUUCGAUACUGGCAAGCUGGAGGGAGGUAGGGGCGGAUGGAACUUCCGGUGGAGCGGUGAAAUGUGUUGAUAUCGGAAGGAACGCCGGUGGCGAAAGCGAUCCGCUGGACCUCUUCUGACACUGAGGCGCGAAAGCCAGGGGAGCAAACGGG
rnacentral:rRNA from 1 species